GAUAAUUCCUUUUCAGAGUUCAUGAGGUCACUGCCUGAAUUUUUCCCUUUGUCUCUGCAUGAGUGGACUCACCCUCCGCUCUGUUUUGUUUAUUCCCAUGACUUUGGGAUAUCGGGAGACGGGACCUGAAGGAACAUUUUAAGCAAGUUGGAGGCAAUAGACUAAGCAGAGAACAUUCUUUGGAAGACAUGUGUCUGUAGUCUUCGCUUAUCCAUGAAAUCUGAGUCCUGGCAGGAAUCCUGUGUAAUGUUUGGGUAGGUUCCCCUACUUACCCAAACCUCAGUUUCCUCUUGGCCAAUAACACAUGGAAAUAAUAAUACUUGCUUCCUAGGAUUCUUGUGAGCUGAGAAUGAAAUAGUAUAUAUGAAACACAUAGGAAGUCUUUGGCACAUGAUGUGCUCAGUCACUGAGUGCUUGGGAGAUCUCUCAGAGAGAAAUCAGAAUUCUGUGGCCACUUUGCCAAGGGCUUGCACUUUGAGUGCAGGCUCACCUGAGGAAGCGGGAAGUAGGAAGAAGAUAGGCCCUGCUUUUUAGGGGCUCUGCGAAGGGUAGAGACUGUGUCUUUUUUACUGAAGGAUGGAAUCAGCAUUAACAAGUGAUGGGGCACAUGUAACAGAACAGAAAGAAGGUUGGGGUAGAUGGGGCAGGCGUGCAAGCUAUGCCAAGUCAAUAGCCAUUGGAAUAUGGUCCUUAAUUAGGAAAUAUAAGUGUGAAGUGGCUCAGUCUGGUGUGGUCAGGGAAGAUCUUUCCAUAGGAAGGCACCCAUAGUUCAUCCUCAUAUUUAGUUUUCAAUUUUGAGGGGAAAGUUAUGUUCUUUAAACUAUGACAGAGUAAAUAGCACUGUAUUUUAUUGGUUGGUAGCAUGCUUUCUAGAAUCAGCCUCCCUGGCUUCCCUGCUUUACCAUUUCCUAUGUACGACAGUUAGUAAAUUGCUUAAUUUCUCUAAGCUAGUGAUUCUCAAGUGGUAGUGACUCCACAGCCCCCUCCCCACCACCAAGGACGUUUGGCAAUGUCUGGAGAUAUUUUUGGCUGUCACAUCUGAGAGGGGGGUAUACUACUGGCAUCUAGUAGAUAGAGGCCAAGGAUGCUGUUAAACUUCCUAUAGUGCCCAGAACAUCUCCACCUUAACAAAGAAUUAUCUGAUUCAUUACGUGAGUAGUGUUGAUGUUGAGAAACCUUUCUCUGAGCCUCACUUUCUUUGUCUGUACAAAGGGAAUAAUAAUAGUUCUUACCUAUAGGGUUGUUGGAAGGAUUAAAUAAGAUAAAGAUUGAAAACAUUAAGUGUGCUUUCUAGCUUUUUGUAAGUGUAAAGAGUAUUUUAGCUAUUAUUAUUAAUGUUACUAUUUUGACCUAUGAUUCACUCUUUAUGUAGCAGAUUUAUGAAUUCUGUUUCAUAGUUUAUUUAGUUGACAUGGAAAAUUUUAUAGUGUAUUAGAUGCAUUUAAAUUUUAUAAGAAAAAAAUUUUAAAGUACUUUAAAUCAGGCAUUGAAAGAGAUUUUGAAAUUGUUUUGAAAAGAUAAUAUUGUUUGGUUUAUGUAAAUAUAGUAUAGGCUGAAACAAAUCACAAAUCAUAAGUUCUACAUGCUAUUAUAUUCUAUUAACCCUGAGAAACAUAAACUCACAGAUUUUAAAAGAAACACUCUGAUACUGUUGCGUAUUGUUACACAGGAGGCAAUAAAGCAAAACAAAUUUACUGAGAAGUGAAGUCCCAUCUGUUUCAUGAAUUAUCAGUAAUUUCAGUGAAAACUAGUAGCUACAAAGUAAGCCCCAGUAUAAAUUGGAAUGGAUUCCUACUUAUCCGCCAGACAACAAAAAUGUCCCUUGAGGCUGAUACAAGUCUUCCGCCAGUCGCGCAGGUCUGAAAACAUGGCUCUGUGUAGAGUCACAGGGCUAGCCCCUCUCAGCAGCUGCGUUUGUGCGUCACAGGGCUUUGCCAGCAGAGCUGGGGUGUUCCGGUGGUCCUGAUGCCUCCUGGGGUAAAUACAAAUGAAGGAUUUAUGGGAUGACUUUCCUACAAUCAGUUCCUUAAUCUUUAAGUUGCGUUUUAUCAUUUAGAUCAUAAUCAGGAGUCUCUUAGGGCUGGCGCAACAAUUAAAUAGCUUAAGAAAUGAGCCUGAUGUGUGCAAUAUGGACUGUGAGUUACACGAUCAUUCUCUACUGAUAUGCCAAAUUGAUAAGUCCAAGCAAUUUUGCCAUGAUUUUGCAGUAAUUUUUACUAAUUUGAAUGUACUGUGUUGUAAUAGUAACAAUUGUAAUAUAUUUGCUAGUUGCCACUGUUCACUCAUGACCCAUUAUCAAGAGAAAAAGGUUAGAAAAUUAACCCUUUUGGUAAUGCAAACAGUGCCUGUUUGAUAGGUAAACAGAGGCCUCAUUUCUUCAGGGAUCAUAUUGCUGGGCAGGAGGGUAGUGGGUGGAUGAAGGUACUGAAUAAUAACAAUACUGUUGAUGGUGAUGGUGGUGACUGUGAUGGUGACAGUGAUGGUGUUCCUGGUGGCCCAUGCAGAUAGCUAUUGAUUAAGACUGUGGUUUAUGCUCAUGAGAUCACACUGACUUCAUACUUCCACCUGUUUGCUUUACAUCUGUUUUUUUUUCCCCUGCUGACUUCUCUGUAUUCAGAAAUGUGUUCCAGUAGCAUGAUUUAACAGAUGAGGUUCUGAUGAAGCCAUCACAUGGCUUAAAUAUUAGUUUCCCAUUUAACAUCAUUAUUUUGAAUGGAAAGAAAAAAAUUUUAAUUAGUUGCUUAUUAAUGAAUCAUGUUUAAAGGGUACUUUAGAUCUUUAGAUUGGUGGGGUGGAUGAUUCCCCUUCCUUGAUUAUCAGUGACUUCUGCCUUUGGUUUGUGCGGGAUAUUGUAGGCGCAUAAUUAUACCAGAAGUCUAUUAACAAGACAAUGUAAUAUUGAGACUCAGGGCAUAGAUUUGGGGGUCUGAGGGGCCUAAAUGUAAAUCUCAUCUCCACCCCUUCUUAAUUUUGUGAUAUUUCAGCCUGUUAAGUGUGCAUAUUUUCAGGGUAUGGGCUACUAAAAGUUCCUAAUUCUUAAGGUUGUUGAUAAGGUUUAAAAUGAGACAAUGUAUGUAUAUGUAUAUGUAUAUGUAUAUGUAUAUGUAUAUGUAUAUGUAUAUAUGAUGAUAUGACAUAUGUAUAUGUAUAUAUGACAAUAUAUUUAUGAGACAAUGUAUGUAUGCAUAUGUAUAUGAAUGUAUAUGACUCUGUUCUAGGUAUGUGGUAAGUGAUUAAUAAAUAUUAGCUGUUAAUAUAAUGCUCUCCUUCCCAGUAAAAAUUAAUGGCUAUAGAAUGCCAUUUUCAUCAUAAUAAAGAAUGAGACCUUGCAAACUCUCUGCGAUACUUGGCCUCCCACAAGGACUUACUCUGCUUGUGUAGGAGAUUAAUUCUUCAGGAUCUCAUUUGUCAGAGGAGUAGUUGGACCAGUGCCAACAAAUUAUGGGCAGAGGUGGGAGAAUCUGCCUUGUGCUUCAGGCUGAUUCAUAAAGUUGUGGAGAUAAAGUACAGGUCUCUAGAAAGAGCCUAAAAGAAGGAAUCUGACUGUUUUAGCCAAAGAUUUUAGGUAUUAUCUGUUCACUGCUAUUCUCUUGGUCCCUAUAUUUAUCUUUCAAGAUGUCCUGCAAUGCACAGGUCAGUGGCAGGGACCUACUGUACCCACCCAGGAUUUAAAAGUCCGGGGGGAAUCAGGCUGCAAAAUGAAAGCCAGUCCACAUAGUUUGCACUAACAAUAACACUACUGAGAGAUUGAACAAAGAGCAAAUUAAAAGUAUUUAGUUUUAAAAAUGAGUUCUGCCAAAAGUAUUGAGUAAAAUGAAGUUAGUAUGUUUUAUUUAUAGAUGUAGAUUUCAGCUUGUCUGACUUCAUUCCCAGACUCUUCACUGCAUAUUUACUGGGAAUCAGCUAUGUGAUGGUCAUGCACUGUGAGAUAUUAAAAAAUGAAAAUAAAGAGUAAGGUGUGGUUUCUCAAAGAGCUAAUGACACAAUGGGAGACAGAUAGGGACCCAGAUACCUUAUUUGAAUAUAAGAUUUUUGAUAGAGGUGCAGAGGCAUAGCAGAGGGAGUGCUCUGCUUAGUCUAGGGGCUCUGAAAAUCUUGCUGGAGGUGACUCUUGAGCUGAGACUUAAAUAAGAGAAAAUAGCCAGAUGUGGAAAGUUUUUAUGGGUAUUUAUUUAGAAGGAGUAACCUGAGUGGAUACUUGAUUUAAAUCACUUUUGUUAUCUGAGUCCCAGUCUCUCUGGCUUGAGUGGGUUUUGGUAUGUAAGGGGAGGGCAGGAUCACUGUGCUGUGGGUCUCCUAGCGGGUGUGCCAUGAGCAGAGAGCUGCUGCGUAGAGAAGUAGGUAAUCACUUCUCUAAGGGCUGCAAGCAAAGGAAAGGAGACAAUUAAUUAAGACUUUUCUUAAUUUGAAGGCGUGUACUGUGGCCACCCAGACCCUGUGGACCACUUGUCUGUCAGAAUGGCUCAUCCCAGGGGCGCCUGGGUGGCUCAGUCGGUUAAGCGGCCGACUUCAGCUCAGGUCAUGAUCUCGCGGUCCGUGAGUUCGAGCCCUGCAUCGGGCUCUGUGCUGACAGCUCAGAGUCUGGAGCCUGUUUCAGAUUCUGUGUCUCCUUCUGUCUCUGACCCUCCCCCAUUCAUGCUCUGUCUCAAAAAUAAAUAAACAUUAAAAAAAAAACUUAAAAGAAUAAAAAAAAAAAAAAAAGAAAAUGUCUGACUCUUGAUUUCAGCUCAGGUCAUUAUGUCAUGAUUUGUGGGAUUGAGCCCUGUGUUGGGCUCUGAACUACAGUGAAAAGCCUACUUGGGAUUCUCUCUCUCUCUCUCUCUCUCUCUCUCUCUCUCUUUCUCUCUCUCUACCCCCCCUCCC